rnacentral:lncRNA from 1 species
AGAUGUUUAAUGUUUUAUAUGAAGCGAGGAGAGUAACAAGUGAAUGUGUGUCCUAUUUAGGAUGGCUAAACAUAGUUACAAAUCAUCAAAACACACUUCCAUGAGGUUUUUGGAACUUAAAAGUUUACAAGAAAGAAGUUGACAACAAUACUAUCGAAUUUCUUAUUUAUUAGUAAAAUGCGGCUUCGUGAUCUCUUAUAACGCUUAUGCUUGCUUUACCAUCCCGCAUUGAUCAUCAAAGGUUAGUUUCUUCAGUCCCUUACGCCAAAAAUUUGUUGACGACAAUACUAUCGAUUUUUCUUAUUUCUGUCUGAUUCUUACAACUACAGUUUUAUUUAUAUUAUAUGUACUGCAUACCAAUAAUCUUUGUACAAACUCUAUUAUAGUAUUUCCUAUAAAAUAAAGAGACAAAAACACAUACACCUAUGUAUAUAUACUGAUAUACACAUAUAUGUAUGUACGCAAGACUUGUUAGGUUGACGUAAAGGGCAUUAAUGUCAAAAACUUCGUCGUGCUUCUGCCUAAGAAGCCUUCGUUACCAAUAAGCCAUAACCAGUCUAGGGCGGCGCCCAAAAAUAUGCCCCCCAUUAAGAAUAAUACAAGCACAUUUCCCAACGCGUUUUGCUCCGGACCCUGCUCAACCCAAGAAGAUGGUAAAUAUGCCAAUGUGUCAUGUUUUUUAAUAUAAAAAACAAAAAAGCAAUGUAAAUUUACCUUAUAACCCUUGGGUGCCGCCAUAAGUACACAUACAGUAAGGUAACCAUUACUUAAUCCCAAUAUAGAUACAAGCAUAAUCAUCCAUCCUUGAUCGGCAUAUUUUGCAGUGAAAUAAAAUGCGGGCACAAGCAAAAACCGUGACACGACUGAGAUCAUAAGCGCGUUUCGUGACUCCAUCUUGACGCAAUGUAUUAGCGGAAUACAUCGAGAUACCAAGUCCCCAAGGUUAAAUACAGUUACUAGAACAAGUGGAUACCUGCAAAACAAUACGUUACAAAAGAUAUAAUAUAAGAAUAUGUUAAAAACUGUAAAAUAAGUAAUUUUACCAUGAACCCAACUGGUGCAUUCCAGUAUUUUCGUAUAAGAAACCCGGGAAAAUCGACACGCUCACAGCAAAUAUCAAGAACAAAUCUAUU